rnacentral:rRNA from 1 species
ACGAACGCUGGCGGCGUGUCUAAGGCAUGCAAGUCGAGUGGGUUAGACCCACGGCAAACGGGAGCGUAACACAUUGGUAACUUACCUUGGGGUCGUGAAUAAUCCCGAGAAAUCGGGAAUAAUACCCGAUGGCCAUGAGGGGACGCGAGUCAUUCUCAUGUAAAUCUUUUUGGCUCGGAGAGGAACCUAUGUCUUAUCAGCUAGUUGGUGGGGUAACGGCCUACCAAGGCGAUGACGAGUAGCAGGCGUGAGAGCGUGACCUGCCUCACUGGGACUGAGACACUGCCCAGACACCUACGGGUGGCUGCAGUCAAGAAUAUUCCACAAUGGACGAAAGUCUGAUGGAGCGACGCCGCGUGCAGGAAGAAGCCCUUCGGGGUGUAAACUGCUUUUAUAAGGGAAGAAUUUGUGACGGUACCUUAUGAAUAAGAGGUUGCUAACUCUGU